AUUGAACGCUGGCGGCAGGCCUAACACAUGCAAGUCGAGCGGCAGCGGGAAGUAGCUUGCUACUUUGCCGGCGAGCGGCGGACGGGUGAGUAAUGUCUGGGAAACUGCCCGAUGGAGGGGGAUAACUACUGGAAACGGUAGCUAAUAUCGCAUAACGUCGCAAGACCAAAGAGGGGGACCUUCGGGCCUCUUGCCAUCGGAUGUGCCCAGAUGGGAUUAGCUAGUAGGUGGGGUAACGGCUCACCUAGGCGACGAUCCCUAGCUGGUCUGAGAGGAUGACCAGCCACACUGGAACUGAGACACGGUCCAGACUCCUACGGGAGGCAGCAGUGGGGAAUAUUGCACAAUGGGCGCAAGCCUGAUGCAGCCAUGCCGCGUGUAUGAAGAAGGCCUUCGGGUUGUAAAGUACUUUCAGCGGGGAGGAAGGUGUUGAGGUUAAUAACCUCAGCAAUUGACGUUACCCGCAGAAGAAGCACCGGCUAACUCCGUGCCAGCAGCCGCCGUAA
rnacentral:rRNA from 1 species